rnacentral:rRNA from 1 species
UACGUAGGGUGCGAGCGUUAAUCGGAAUUACUGGGCGUAAAGCGUACGCAGGCGGCUUGAUAAGACAGAUGUGAAAUCCCCGGGCUUAACCUGGGAACUGCAUUUGUGACUGCCAAGCUUGAGUCUGUCAGAGGGGGGUGGAAUUCCACGUGUAGCAGUGAAAUGCGUAGAGAUGUGGAGGAACACCGAUGGCGAAGGCAGCCCCCUGGGAUGAGACUGACGCUCAUGUACGAAAGCGUGGGGAGCAAACAGG